rnacentral:rRNA from 1 species
AUUGAACGCUGGCGGCAUGCUUUACACAUGCAAGUCGAACGGUAACAGGCCGCAAGGUGCUGACGAGUGGCGAACGGGUGAGUAAUGCAUCGGAACGUGCCCAGUCGUGGGGGAUAACGCAGCGAAAGCUGUGCUAAUACCGCAUACGAUCUAUGGAUGAAAGCGGGGGACCGUAAGGCCUCGCGCGAUUGGAGCGGCCGAUGUCAGAUUAGGUAGUUGGUGGGGUAAAGGCCUACCAAGCCGACGAUCUGUAGCUGGUCUGAGAGGACGACCAGCCAAACUGGGACUGAGACACGGCACAGACUCCUACGGGAGGCAGCAGUGGGGAAUUUUGGACAAUGGGCGCAAGCCUGAUCCAGCAAUGCCGCGUGCAGGAAGAAGGCCUUCGGGUUGUAAACUGCUUUUGUACGGAACGAAACGGUCUGGGUUAAUACCCCGGGCUAAUGACGGUACCGUAAGAAUAAGCACCGGCUAACUACGUGCCAGCCGCCGCCGUAACAC